rnacentral:rRNA from 1 species
GGAAUUUUGCGCAAUGGGGGAAACCCUGACGCAGCAACGCCGCGUGCGGGACGAAGGCCUUCGGGUUGUAAACCGCUUUCAGCAGGGAAGACAUAGACGGUACCUGCAGAAGAAGCUCCGGCUAACUACGUGCCAGCAGCCGCGGUAAUACGUAGGGGGCGAGCGUUAUCCGGAUUCAUUGGGCGUAAAGCGCGCGUAGGCGGCCGCCUAAGCGGAACCUCUAAUCCCGGGGCUCAACCUCGGGCCGGGUUCCGGACUGGGCGGCUCGAGUGCGGUAGAGGCAGGCGGAAUUCCCGGUGUAGCGGUGGAAUGCGCAGAUAUCGGGAAGAACACCGAUGGCGAAGGCAGCCUGCUGGGCCGCCACUGACGCUGAGGCGCGAAAGCUGGGGGAGCGAACAGGAUUAGAUACCCUGGUAGUCCCAGCCGUAAACGAUGGGCGCUAGGUGUGGGGGGACCAUCCCCCCGUGCCGCAGCCAACGCAUUAAGCGCCCCGCCUGGGGAGUACGGCCGCAAGGCUAAAACUCAAAGGAAUUGACGGGGGCCCGCACAAGCAGCGGAGCAUGUGGCUUAAUUCGAAGCAACGCGAAGAACCUUACCAGGGCUUGACAUGCGAGUGAAGCCGCGGAGACGCGGUGGCCGAGAGGAGCUCGCGCAGGUGGUGCAUGGCUGUCGUCAGCUCGUGUCGUGAGAUGUUGGGUUAAGUCCCGCAACGAGCGCAACCCCCGUCCCGUGUUGCCAGCAUUGAGUUGGGGACUCGCGGGAGACUGCCGGCGUCAAGCCGGAGGAAGGUGGGGACGACGUCAAGUCAUCAUGCCCCUUAUGCCCUGGGCUGCACACGUGCUACAAUGGCCGGUACAGAGGGUUGCCACCCCGCGAGGGGGAGCGGAUCCCGGAAAGCCGGUCCCAGUUCGGAUCGCAGGCUGCAACCCGCCUGCGUGAAGUCGGAGUUGCUAGUAAUCGCGAAUCAGAAUGUCGCGGUGAAUACGUUCCC